AUGUAACCGGACCUUACGGGUGCCGUAAAACGCAUUCGUUCGGAAAGGGAGAUAUCAUACACCCUGUGUUUAUUUACUUUUGUUGCUUUGGCGGGCCGUCCUUUUAGGCGUCGGCCCCGGCUGAUCGUGCCCGCCAGAGAACCCAAACUCUUUUAUUAGUGAUGUCUGAGUACUAUAUAAUAGUUA
rnacentral:misc_RNA from 1 species